GCGGCAGCGACCGGCAGCCUCCGACCGGCCCUGCCGGCCUGCUCUCGCCUGGCCGCAGCCGGGGCCGGCUGCCGUCGGGGCGGCGGUUCGGAGGCGGCCGCGGCGGGAAGCGGAGCCGGGCCGGGCGCAGGAGGGCGCGGCGGGAUGAAGGCGGGAGGGAGAGGGGCGGGAGCGGGACUGCGAGCCCUGCUAAGCCUGGCUCCGGGCUCGGGUGCGCUCGCCGGGCAGGUGCCUGCUCCCUGCCGUUUAAGCAUUGCAUCCGUAAUUUUUUUUUAAGUGCUGCUCUUCUAAAUUAGGCUGAAGCCAUUGCGUGGUUACUUUGAGCUGCCCCAGAGGCAGGCUCCCUGUGGGAGGGAGUCUUUGGCAAGACGGCGGCUCCUUUGCGCUAAACUAAGCCAAACCGGGAAGUGGCCCAGCUGAAAACUCACUCAACAAAACCAGUUUCCGUCUGGAGCGGCUCCCUGAGAUGCGACAAGGCAGUGCCAGCGCAAAAGAGGAACGUGCGAGAGCAGAGGGAGAACAUGACUCCAACAGCCAUCGUAGACACCAGCUUAAGGGAAGGACACCCAGCUCUGCUCGUGAGCAUCUUCUGGAUCCAUUCAUCAGUGGAAGGUCACACGGGCUGGGACAGGGACACCUCUGCUGCUCCGAGUGACAUGAGCAUCACUCAUCUUGAGAACAGAAAUAAUGUCACUACUCAGAGAAGAGUGGUUUGGACAUACAUCAAGUAUGCUAAAUGCAAGGAUAAACGUGAGUGGCACACAAGGCUUGCAGUACUGCUAGCCAAAAUCACUUCAUCACAAGAGUCUUAGCAGCAAAGUUGUUCUAAAGUAUCUGCAGGUGGUAAAUAAAUAAUGGGAUGUGAAAAUCGUAUUAAAAUUUGUGUUUGUAUGGUUAUGGAGGAAAUCUUAAAAGCAGGAGUAUUGAAAGUCAAGGAUCAAAAAGUAUAUGGUUCCCAAAUCCAUUUUUAAAACUCCCUCUUGAUGUUUAAGCCUUGAGAAAUUGAGGGUUUCCUAAAAGACUGAGCGAUGCAUAUUCAAAUAAAUAAAAGAGGACCAACUGAGCAGAAAAUACAACAUAAUUCUUGGUUUUAUCCUCAGA